CCCUUAGAUGUUCUGGGCCGCACGCGCGCUACACUGACUACUUCAACGAGUUGUUUCCUUGAUCGAAAGGUGUGGGUAAUCUUUUGAGCCCUCGUCGUGCUGGGGCUAGAUCUUUGUAAUUUUCGAUCUCAAACGAGGAAUUCCUAGUAAGCGUGAUUCAUCAGAUCGCGUUGAUUACGUCCCUGCCCUUUGUACACACCGCCCGUCGCUACUACCGAUUGAAUGGUUUAGUGAGAACUCGGGACUGGCACUAAGGGGCUGGCAACAGCCUAUUAGAGCCGGGAACUUGCUCAAACUUGAUCAUUUAGAGGAAGUAAAAGUCGUAACA
rnacentral:rRNA from 1 species